rnacentral:ncRNA from 1 species
GGGGAAACCCUAAAACUGCCCUUUGAUACCCUUGCACGGACGCUAUUUGCAUGGCGGGGAAUUGUGCCGAACCCGUUUCAUGUGCCGGGGUUACACAGUUUAGACGCACACCAACAAGAUAACUGCACGGAGAGCGAAUUUUAUUAUGACCAGUC